AAGUAAAGUGAAAAAAUCUUCUAAACGUGUGUGGACACACAAUGCUGAAUACUUAUAUGAGAGGCUACGUAGAGAUUUAAAUAUAAACAUGUAAGGAAAGGCUUAGUUCGAGAGUAACCAAAACAUUUCUUGCUCAGGCAUUUUGCUAGGAUGAAAGGUGGAGAAAUAUUUCCUUUCAUGGGCAAAUGCAUUUUUCCGAAAAGUAAGAAGUCGCACGGUGCCAUAUCAGAUGAAUACGGGGAGUGGUUAAUGGUUAAAAUGUUAUUUUUCGUCAAAGAAUCGUCCUUCGAAUGUUGGAUUCUGAGCCAUUUUUGGUCGUCAAUCAAUUUGUGCGGAAUAAACCGUGCACGACCACUUUAAAAACGUUGAAACCACUCGUGCACUCUGCUACGUGAUAGGCAAUCAUCGUCUUAAAAUUUUUUCAUCAAUUGAAAGGUUUUGGUAAAAGUUUUACCAAUUUUAAAACAAAAUUUAUUGUUGGCUCUUUGUUCGAAGCUAAUUUUCGCAUCGAUAACACAAACAUACUCACACCUAAAACGCAAUAACUUCACUUCCAAUUAAUGAAAUGGCAUGAAAUUCUCACUGGACAAUCGAUAAAGAUAGCAGAUUCUUAAGCACCAGUCGAAAUAUAGUUGGCGCCACCAAGGGGCGUUGGAUUCAAAAAGUCCUGUUUACUUUGGAAAACGUCUUGAAAUACGACACCUAUCAAAUCGCUGAAACUGUGUUGCGACAAACGUAAUUUUAGCGUUAAGUAUACUGGCGUCCGUGCAGGAAUCAGCGCGAAAACGUAGUGAAAAUGGCCUGAAAACCAAAAAGUAAAGCUACGCGACUGUGGAGUCUGCAGUACCAACAGGUGUAGGAAAAAGGACAACCCCGGAAUGAGGAAGAAAAUCCUAUGGGAAGCUGGAAAAUACUAUUUCGAUUGCCAAAAUGCACGGAUGUCAACAACCACCAUUUACCAACCCUAGAGAAAAUGGGACCAGGAAUAGUCUUUUUAAACAAAUUUAAUGCCGAUAUUUUUAUUAACAACGACUCUGCAACAGUAAACGGACAUUUAUUAUUAAGUACACUAACGCAAAGCAAUUUAUUAUUACAAAGAAACGAUAUCAAGCAAACCAUUACAGACAACGUACAACCUUCAUCUACACCAAUCAAUAUAGAAGAAUUCCUCUCGCUAAAGAUGCUGAAGUAGCUACCAAUACAAAAGAAGUAAGCUUGUUAGAAAUAGCAAAUAGAGCGAAACAUACACUCAGCAUCACCUUAAUUAUUAUGCUAAUUGUGAUCAUCAGAAAUUACCUUAUAAAAACCACAGAAAAUUUAUCAAUUAAACUAUCAUCAUACCAUUCAAAGUAAUAUAAUACGACACUAAACAAAUAGCUGAAACUGCGUUAUGCGCAGAACAAAACUGUGGAAAGUGCAAGGUCAGCGAAUUCCAUCCCCGUUGCAGCGGCAAACGUAGCUUUAACUUUAAGUAUAAUUAAUUGCAGCUUUUAGUUCUAAUUCGGAAUUCCUUCGGAUCUGCGUGGUCAGUUUAGCCAUGACCGUGCGUCUGUUUGUAUAUACGAAAACUAAUCCCUCAGCUUAUUUUUCACAAGUUCUUUUCUUCUCAAGAUGUUGCUCAUUUUCCGGAACCGCCGAUAUUUUGAGAUCGGACCAUUUAGCGCCUAGCUGCCACAUAAAACGACCAACCGAUCAAAAUAAAAUUUUUGUGUGGAAUUUGUGAAGGACAUUAUAGCUUUUCUUCCUUUUACUAGCGACUGAAAUAAUCUCAAUAUUCUCAUUUACUUUCAUUGAGACAUUUUGUAUUGAGAUAAAAUAUUAUAGGGCUAAACCAACGACUAGAUAUAUUACAUGCUAUAUAUCAAUAUAUACGGUGAAGUUAAAAAAUGGAAAUCACUACAUUGGAAAUAUCGGAGUUAGGAGAAGACAUUUGGCACUAAACCAAAAUACGCUCGAGAAUGCGUUUCCACGCAAGGGCUAUGGUAAUUCAUGGAACAAUUUCCCUUAUUUUCGCCACUAUGUAUCUUGAUGAAACUUGUUAUACAUACUUGAAAAGGCUGAUAUUGCAAAUGGGUGGAAUCGGAUCAUUACCACGCUCACAAAACGUCAUUAAUCGAAAACCUACAAAGAUCCGCAAUAAGAUACAAAAAAAAAACUUAAAACGUUAAAACUUUUGAGAACUUUUAAGAAAGUAAGCUAGGUUUAAUCCAUUAAUAAGUUUAAUGUCCAUAUCUUCGAAACCUCUAAAGCUUUAUAAACCAAAUUUCGCUUAAGACAAAUCUUUUCGGCACCUCCUAGGACAGUAGAAAAAUAAAUUAUAAUCCUGCCAGUAAGUUGUGCCUUGUUGCUAGGUCAACACAACCAA